UUAAAUUGAAGAGUUUGAUCAUGGCUCAGAUUGAACGCUGGCGGCAGGCCUAACACAUGCAAGUCGAACGGUAACAGGAAACAGCUUGCUGUUUCGCUGACGAGUGGCGGACGGGUGAGUAAUGUCUGGGAAACUGCCUGAUGGAGGGGGAUAACUACUG
rnacentral:rRNA from 1 species